rnacentral:rRNA from 1 species
UACGUAGAUGGCGAGCGUUGUCCGGAAUUACUGGGUGUAAAGGGAGUGUAGGCGGGAUCAUAAGUUGCGUGUGAAAUGCAGGGGCUCAACCCCUGAACUGCGCGCAAAACUGUGGUUCUUGAGUGAAGUAGAGGCAGGCGGAAUUCCCGGUGUAGCGGUGGAAUGCGUAGAUAUCGGGAGGAACACCAGUGGCGAAGGCGGCCUGCUGGGCUUUUACUGACGCUGAGGCUCGAAAGCAUGGGGAGCAAACAGG